GGCGUGGUCUGCUUUGUAAGGAACCUUGGCAUGAAGCAUCAGGAAAUACGUCAUAUUGUCAUCACUGUGAUAUUACGGGAAUUGCAGCUGCUGAAUGCUUCUCCCUAUGGCUGCAGACCUGGAGCCUUUAUAAAGUGAGCGACCACACUGUCCUGUCCAGUCUCAGCUGGGAAGCCAGGCAGCCAUGAGGCUCUUCUACCUUCUCUUUGUGUUACUCUUCUUGUUCUUGCUGCCUGUUCCAGCUCAUGUACUUAAACAUCAUGAAGAAUGGGAGCAUCAUGAAAACAUCCACCAAGAAACGGGAAAAGCAUCAACAGUAGAUAAAGAUCAGGAACAGUAGGAUUUGGGGAAUACCAUUUUUCUCCUUUGAUCUGGCCAGUCAAAGGGUCAAUCAGGUUUUUUCCCAUUUCCCUCAUGUGCAAACUCUGAACUCCUUUGAGAACAAAGAACUUUGUAAGUUAUAAAAUGGCACACACCUAGACUCACAGUGUGGUCCCCUCCACGCAUGGACGCAUGUAGUGGAUGGUGCUCCCCCUGGGACUCUGGUGCGCUGACCACGGCGACUGCCCAGCUGCUGCGAGCCAGAGGAAGGUGCUUUCCCCUGGACGGGUGAGAUUCAUUUGCUAAGUGUUAUUGUAAAUUCACUUCUUUCCUUUCGCUUUGAUCCUUGAU